UCUAGCGGGCGGAGAGUUCCAAUGGUCCAGAUUGCCUGGGCAUCCCUGACCCCUCCGGACCACUUCCCUAGAGGGCAUCCUGUGCCCGACUGCUGGGCUGGCAUUUGCAGAGUACAGAUCUAGGCUGUCUGGAUUAUACUACACAUGAAGAGCCUACUGUUUGCAAAAAUUGACUUUUCUUUCCCGCGGCCACGCUGCAAAGGAUGGAGCUCCAGCAGCGAAGCAGCAGUCACUGGUCUAGCUGAAGAGGAAGGAGCCAGGCUCCUGCUUCGUAACCGAGGCAUCUAGCAUCCAGCCAAAGAACUUUUUUGCCUCUGACUAAGGAGCCACUGGUUAUCGGAGCCGGCUCAAUUGAAUACCCAUUCGGAUGAAAGAGUGAAGUAUAAAAUAACAAGGUAGCACAAAAAGCUGGGAAGAGGGACUCGAUGAGAUCACGUAGACGCCCCCAGGAUCAGAUCCUAAAUGCCGAUCUUCAAACACCAGCAUCACAUCCAGAGAGGCCAGAGGGUCCCAAGACAAAACAAGCCGGGGCCAAGACGCACUCAGAGCUCCUAUCUCACCCUCUUAGGGGUGUGCUCGGGGCACCAGAUGGGUUAUUAAAUGUUAUUCUCUUUCUCCCUUUUUGGUUAAGCAGAGGACUGCAGAGGAAAGCCUCUGAAUCAAAUGUUUGCUCCACACAGUUCAACUGAAAUGUAGGUUGUGAUGAGUGGACACGUGCUCCACAGCUAAGAGACCAACCGAGGGCAUCCUAUCCCACUCGUGGGUCUAAGGGGAGACUUACAGAAGGCAUACUUACUCUGAAGAUGGAAUGAUAGCUGAAGAGACAGAGUGAUGCCUAGGGCCUGUCAGACACCCAGUUUAGCCUAAUACAGAAAAGCACGGAGGUGAGAAACAACAGGGUGAAUCCAAGGAAAUUCAACAGGAGCAUGUGAGAGGCAGGAGCCAGGGAGAGUUAGACAUGGCCCGAAACAAGUUCUCCCCUCCACCCUGAGGAAUUCUGGUGCUUCAGCACUGGCUCCUGAAGAAUUGGGGAAACUUCCCAGAAGGUUGUCAGCCUCUCUCCGGCAGGAGCUUUACAGAGGUCUGUGGACACUUCAGAGCACCCACACGGGCCAGAGAAGUAACUGGUCACGAGGCUUCCCCCAGGGGGACUUCCUCACUCAAGCGACACAUUAAACUCUGAGUCAAUGAAUGCCAGAGGUUAGGGGUAAAGAUGACAGCACUUCACCUCAAGCUACCUCCUAGUUUUCAUAAAGUUUGGAAUUGAAGCUGACGAGAUGUAGACUCACCGUAAAGAGCUGGAAGCAGCAAGCAUAUCUGUGGCCCAUGAAAAGGGAGAGGGGGACCAGGAGGGCAUGGGCUGGAGAAGGACGAGGUUGUGUCCAGAGGAAUGGAGCAAUUAAACUUUAAACUAUUCUUUUC
rnacentral:lncRNA from 1 species